rnacentral:rRNA from 1 species
GAAACAUCUUAGUACCCGGAGGAAGAGAAAGAAAAUUCGAUUCCCUUAGUAGCGGCGAGCGAAACGGGAAGAGCCCAAACCAACAAGCUUGCUUGUUGGGGUUGUAGGACACUCUAUACGGAGUUACAAAGGACGACAUUAGACGAAUCAUCUGGAAAGAUGAAUCAAAGAAGGUAAUAAUCCUGUAGUCGAAAAUGUUGUCUCUCUUGAGUGGAUCCUGAGUACGACGGAGCACGUGAAAUUCCGUCGGAAUCUGGGAGGACCAUCUCCUAAGGCUAAAUACUCUCUAGUGACCGAUAGUGAACCAGUACCGUGAGGGAAAGGUGAAAAGCACCCCGGAAGGGGAGUGAAAUAGAACCUGAAACCGUGUGCUUACAAGUAGUCAGAGCCCGUUAAUGGGUGAUGGCGUGCCUUUUGUAGAAUGAACCGGCGAGUUACGAUUUGAUGCAAGGUUAAGCAGUAAAUGUGGAGCCGUAGCGAAAGCGAGUCUGAAUAGGGCGUUUAGUAUUUGGUCGUAGACCCGAAACCAGGUGAUCUACCCUUGGUCAGGUUGAAGUUCAGGUAACACUGAAUGGAGGACCGAACCGACUUACGUUGAAAAGUGAGCGGAUGAACUGAGGGUAGCGGAGAAAUUCCAAUCGAACCUGGAGAUAGCUGGUUCUCUCCGAAAUAGCUUUAGGGCUAGCCUCAAGUGAUGAUUAUUGGAGGUAGAGCACUGUUUGGACGAGGGGCCCCUCUCGGGUUACCGAAUUCAGACAAACUCCGAAUGCCAAUUAAUUUAACUUGGGAGUCAGAACAUGGGUGAUAAGGUCCGUGUUCGAAAGGGAAACAGCCCAGACCACCAGCUAAGGUCCCAAAAUAUAUGUUAAGUGGUAAAGGAUGUGGCGUUGCCCAGACAACUAGGAUGUUGGCUUAGAAGCAGCCAUCAUUUAAAGAGUGCGUAAUAGCUCACUAGUCGAGUGACACUGCGCCGAAAAUGUAUCGGGGCUAAA